AACGCACAUUGCGCCCCCUGGUAUUCCGGGGGGCAUGCCUGUCCGAGCGUCAUUGCUGCCCUCAAGCACGGCUUGUGUGUUGGGCCCCCGUCCCCCUCCCAGGAAGGGGACGGGCCCGAAAGGCAGCGGCGGCACCGUGUCCGGUCCUCGAGCGUAUGGGAAGCAACUUUUUGUCACCCGCUCCUGUAGGUCCGGCCGGCGGCCUGCCCAACCCCAACCUUUUUUUAACCAGGUUGACCUCGGAUCAGGUAGGGAUACCCGCUGAACUUAA
rnacentral:misc_RNA from 1 species